rnacentral:rRNA from 1 species
UACGUAGGUGACAAGCGUUGUCCGGAUUUACUGGGCGUAAAGGGCUCGUAGGCGGCCAACUAAGUCGGAUGUGAAAUCCCCAGGCUUAACCUGGGAACUGCAUCCGAUACUGGAUGGCUUGAAUCCGGGAGAGGGAUGCAGAAUUCCAGGUGUAGCGGUGAAAUGCGUAGAUAUCUGGAGGAAUACCGGUGGCGAAGGCGGCAUCCUGGACCGGCAUUGACGCUGAUGAGCGAAAGCUAGGGGAGCAAACGGG